rnacentral:rRNA from 1 species
ACUAUCGUUAACUGAAUACAUAGGUUAACGAGGCGAACCGGGGGAACUGAAACAUCUAAGUACCCCGAGGAAAAGAAAUCAACCGAGAUUCCCCCAGUAGCGGCGAGCGAACGGGGAGCAGCCCAGAGUCUGAAUCAGCUUGUGUGUUAGUGGAACGGUCUGGAAAGUCCGACGGUACAGGGUGAUAGUCCCGUACACCAAAAUGCACAGGCUGUGAACUCGAAGAGUAGGGCGGGACACGUGGUAUCCUGUCUGAAUAUGGGGGGACCAUCCUCCAAGGCUAAAUACUCCUGACUGACCGAUAGUGAACCAGUACCGUGAGGGAAAGGCGAAAAGAACCCCGGCGAGGGGAGUGAAAAAGAACCUGAAACCGUGUACGUACAAGCAGUGGGAGCACCUUCGGGUGUGACUGCGUACCUUUUGUAUAAUGGGUCAGCGACUUAUAUUCUGUAGCAAGGUUAACCGUAUAGGGGAGCCGCAGGGAAACCGAGUCUUAACUGGGCGUUAAGUUGCAGGGUAUAGACCCGAAACCCGGUGAUCUAGCCAUGGGCAGGUUGAAGGUUGGGUAACACUAACUGGAGGACCGAACCGACUAAUGUUGAAAAAUUAGCGGAUGACUUGUGGCUGGGGGUGAAAGGCCAAUCAAACCGGGAGAUAGCUGGUUCUCCCCGAAAGCUAUUUAGGUAGCGCCUCGUGAAUUCAUCUUCGGGGGUAGAGCACUGUUUCGGCUAGGGGGUCAUCCCGACUUACCAACCCGAUGCAAACUACGAAUACCGAAGAAUGUUAUCACGGGAGACACACGGCGGGUGCUAACGUCCGUCGUGAAGAGGGAAACAACCCAGACCGCCAGCUAAGGUCCCAAAGUCAUGGUUAAGUGGGAAACGAUGUGGGAAGGCACAGACAGCCAGGAUGUUGGCUUAGAAGCAGCCAUCAUUUAAAGAAAGCGUAAUAGCUCACUGGUCGAGUCGGCCUGCGCGGAAGAUGUAACGGGGCUAAACCAUGCACCGAAGCUGCGGCAGCGACACUAUGUGUUGUUGGGUAGGGGAGCGUUCUGUAAGCCUGCGAAGGUGACCUGUGAGGGUUGCUGGAGGUAUCAGAAGUGCGAAUGCUGACAUAAGUAACGAUAAAGCGGGUGAAAAGCCCGCUCGCCGGAAGACCAAGGGUUCCUGUCCAACGUUAAUCGGGGCAGGGUGAGUCGACCCCUAAGGCGAGGCCGAAAGGCGUAGUCGAUGGGAAACAGGUUAAUAUUCCUGUACUUGGUGUUACUGCGAAGGGGGGACGGAGAAGGCUAUGUUAGCCGGGCGACGGUUGUCCCGGUUUAAGCAUGUAGGCUGGUUGUCCAGGCAAAUCCGGAUAAUCAAGGCUGAGGUGUGAUGACGAGGCACUACGGUGCUGAAGUAACAAAUGCCCUGCUUCCAGGAAAAGCCUCUAAGCAUCAGGUAACAUCAAAUCGUACCCCAAACCGACACAGGUGGUCAGGUAGAGAAUACCAAGGCGCUUGAGAGAACUCGGGUGAAGGAACUAGGCAAAAUGGUGCCGUAACUUCGGGAGAAGGCACGCUGGUGUGUAGGUGAAGUCCCUGCGGAUGGAGCUGAGACCAGUCGAAGAUACCAGCUGGCUGCAACUGUUUAUUAAAAACACAGCACUGUGCAAACACGAAAGUGGACGUAUACGGUGUGACGCCUGCCCGGUGCCGGAAGGUUAAUUGAUGGGGUUAUCCGUAAGGAGAAGCUCUUGAUCGAAGCCCCGGUAAACGGCGGCCGUAACUAUAACGGUCCUAAGGUAGCGAAAUUCCUUGUCGGGUAAGUUCCGACCUGCACGAAUGGCGUAAUGAUGGCCAGGCUGUCUCCACCCGAGACUCAGUGAAAUUGAACUCGCUGUGAAGAUGCAGUGUACCCGCGGCAAGACGGAAAGACCCCGUGAACCUUUACUAUAGCUUGACACUGAACAUUGAGCCUUGAUGUGUAGGAUAGGUGGGAGGCUUUGAAGCGUGGACGCCAGUCUGCGUGGAGCCAACCUUGAAAUACCACCCUUUAAUGUUUGAUGUUCUAACGUUGGCCCCUUAUCGGGGUUGCGGACAGUGUCUGGUGGGUAGUUUGACUGGGGCGGUCUCCUCCCAAAGCGUAACGGAGGAGCACGAAGGUUAGCUAAUCCUGGUCGGACAUCAGGAGGUUAGUGCAAUGGCAUAAGCUAGCUUGACUGCGAGCGUGACGGCGCGAGCAGGUGCGAAAGCAGGUCAUAGUGAUCCGGUGGUUCUGAAUGGAAGGGCCAUCGCUCAACGGAUAAAAGGUACUCCGGGGAUAACAGGCUGAUACCGCCCAAGAGUUCAUAUCGACGGCGGUGUUUGGCACCUCGAUGUCGGCUCAUCACAUCCUGGGGCUGAAGUAGGUCCCAAGGGUAUGGCUGUUCGCCAUUUAAAGUGGUACGCGAGCUGGGUUUAGAACGUCGUGAGACAGUUCGGUCCCUAUCUGCCGUGGGCGCUGGAGAAUUGAGGGGGGCUGCUCCUAGUACGAGAGGACCGGAGUGGACGCAUCACUGGUGUUCGGGUUGUCAUGCCAAUGGCACUGCCCGGUAGCUAAAUGCGGAAGAGAUAAGUGCUGAAAGCAUCUAAGCACGAAACUUGCCCCGAGAUGAGUUCU